AUGGCCAAGAUGAUGACCAUGAUCAUGCUUUUCUUAGUCUCCUCCCUCCUCUCCCACUCAUCCGAGUCGUCCCAGUCCCACCUACAGAUCACCUUCAACGUCCACAAGCAAAAGUUCUCCGAGUUGGACCAAGCCAUGCAAAUGGUUUUGCCGCUUCGUCAGCCGCCUCAGCGGAGGCUAGUUGGGGCGGACGCUGCCCUGAAGGAGAGCUUGCUCUCCUUGAUGCAAGCAAUCGCGCACCGCAUGGAGACUCCCCACGGCCUCCCAAGCAUCGACGAAGGGGCCAAGCCACAUCCAUCGAGCUGGAUGAACAUGAAGACCGACGACGAGGAGGCCCACCCGGCGACUCCCACUGCGGCGCCAUGA
rnacentral:rRNA from 1 species